rnacentral:rRNA from 1 species
GAAAUGGUUUCCAUCGACCCGUCUUGGAACACGGACCAAGGAGUCUAGGCAGUAUGCAAGCUUGGGGGUGACAAACUCUGAGCACAAUGAAGCUGGAGUCCCGGAAAUGGCAGGGGUGUUCAACCAAGCAACAGGACAAGGUUUGAGUCUGAGCACACUUGUUAGGACCCGAAAGAUGGUGAACUAUGCCUGAAAAGGG